CAGUAGCCGCGGUAAUACGGAGGGUGCAAGCGUUAAUCGGAAUUACUGGGCGUAAAGCGCACGCAGGCGGUUUGUUAAGUCAGAUGUGAAAUCCCCGAGCUUAACUUGGGAACUGCAUUUGAAACUGGCAAGCUAGAGUCUUGUAGAGGGGGGUAGAAUUCCAGGUGUAGCGGUGAAAUGCGUAGAGAUCUGGAGGAAUACCGGUGGCGAAGGCGGCCCCCUGGACAAAGACUGACGCUUAGGUGCGAAAGCGUGGGGAGCAAACAGGAUUAGAUACCCGUGUAGUCCCUGUCUCUUAUAC
rnacentral:rRNA from 1 species